GAUGAACGCUGGCGGCGUGCCUAAUACAUGCAAGUCGAGCGAACAGACGAGGAGCUUGCUCCUCUGACGUUAGCGGCGGACGGGUGAGUAACACGUGGAUAACCUACCUAUAAGACUGGGAUAACUUCGGGAAACCGGAGCUAAUACCGGAUAAUAUAUUGAACCGCAUGGUUCAAUAGUGAAAGACGGUUUUGCUGUCACUUAUAGAUGGAUCCGCGCCGCAUUAGCUAGUUGGUAAGGUAACGGCUUACCAAGGCAACGAUGCGUAGCCGACCUGAGAGGGGGAUCGGCCACCCGGGAACUGAGACACGGUCCAGACUCCUACGGGAGGCAGCAGUAGGGAAUCUUCCGCAAUGGGCGAAAGCCGGACGGAGCAACGCCGCGUGAGUGAUGAAGGUCUUCGGAUCGUAAAACUCGGUUAUUAGGGAAGAACAAAUGUGUAAGUAACUAUGCACGUCUUGACGGUACCUAAUCAGAAAGCCACGGCUAACUACGUG
rnacentral:rRNA from 1 species